rnacentral:rRNA from 1 species
AUUGAACGCUGGCGGCAUGCCUUACACAUGCAAGUCGAACGGUAACAGGUCUUCGGAUGCUGACGAGUGGCGAACGGGUGAGUAAUACAUCGGAACGUGCCUAGUAGUGGGGGAUAACUACUCGAAAGAGUGGCUAAUACCGCAUGAGAUCUACGGAUGAAAGCAGGGGAUCGCAAGACCUUGUGCUACUAGCGCGGCCGAUGGCAGAUUAGGUAGUUGGUGGGAUAAAAGCUUACCAAGCCGACGAUCUGUAGCUGGUCUGAGAGGACGAUCAGGCACACUGGGGCUGAGAAACGGCCCAGACUCCUACGGGAGGAAGCAGUGGGGAAUUUUGGACAAUGGGCGCAAGCCUGAUCCAGCAAUGCCGCGUGCAGGAUGAAGGCCUUCGGGUUGUAAACUGCUUUUGUACGGAACGAAAAGCCCCGGGUUAAUACCCUGGGGUCAUGACGGUACCGUAAGAAUAAGCACCGGCUAACUACGUGCCAGCCGCCGCCGUAA